AACCUUAAAUGCCCCUCUUAUGACUGUUUUUAUUAUAUCCCAAAGGCUAAAGGAUGUUGUGUUUUCCUGUUGGUUUGACGGUAGAAGUUGUUCCACUUGCUAAACGUGGAAAUUUGGAAAUUUGGAGCCCUUGGUUAAGGGAAAGUAUCUCAGUCCUGCAAGAGGUUGAUUCUUCCUGCAGCUGGAAAGGGUAAAGACAUCCUUAAAGUGUGCUGUAUCUUCUUCCCACAGAUCUGAGUGUAAGGAUUUAAUCCUUAAUUACGUCAUCAGCCUCUGCCGGCUUCCCAGCCUAAAAACACGCUGCUCCACCGGCAUGGUCGCCGCAGGCGAGGGGCAGCGCCACGGCUUAACCAACAUUGGUGCUAUUCAGACUCGGAUACACCACCGAGCACCGAGGACCCGCAGUAACUACUGCUGCCUCUUCCCCCAUCCAGCGAGACUGUGAGACCACAAGUGCACGUCCCUCACCGCCUCCGCUGGACCCCCACCACUACCGCCAUGAUUCCUCACCACACAUGCUGCUCCGCCGGCAUGGUCACCAUGGGCGGUGACCAGACACGAGGGGCACCGCUUCGGCUUAAGCAACACUGAGUGAACAAACACCUGUUCAACAACACUUGUGAGACUUGAAAAAGAACAGUGGAUCCAGAUACUUUGAAGGACUAGAGGAAAUUUGGCUCUCAGGGAGAUACGAAAUUCUGGAUCCCAUCAAAAUGAUAAAAAUCUGAGCAAGAGACAUCUCCCAGAUACUGCAGCUACAGAGAUGCCUCUGUGACAGACAAGACACAGGAGGCCUCUGGAACAAACAACUAAUUCUCCCACCUGGGGACAGCUUAAGAAUUUGUGUGACAAAGGGGAGGCCAUACUUCACAUGACUCACAAACCUCUUAAUGCUACAAACUUAUUUCCUGCCCUGCUUUCAGUGGUGAUGGUGCAGGUAAAAGGGAUGGAUCAUAAUUAUUGAGCCUUUAUUCCUAAUCCCCCAAUUAAUUUAGCAGUAGGUUGGGGAGGUACAAAUAUUCCUGUAAUUGUCAAUGAAUCUUCUUGGAUACCUGAUCCUUAUGACAACCGAAGUCCUGCUCAGCCAAUGAGGAAGGUAGAGUGAUUAAUAAUUACACUGUGGAAGUACGAGGAAUUCCUAUUUGUAUGGGAAAUGAAAUUCAAUGUUUAAAUAUAACCUUUCAAGUAUAGCUAUCCAUAGUCAACACUACCCAAGAUUAUCACAAUAAAUUUUAUAUGCUCUAUGUGUAUGGUUUCAAAGGACAGUAGAUUAAUGCUACUAUUUCCAUAAAUCUACCAUUCUGUGAGAUGAGGGUUACCAACAAGGAAUCUGACUGGGUGCAUUGGCGACAAUGUAAUAGUGAGAAACCUCAAGUGCUAAUUAAUGUCUCCCAAGAAAACAUCAUAGAGUGGAGCCCCUAUUGCUUCCCUCAAGGAAAAUAGUGUCACUCGGAGUUAAGGUGGAAGUAGUAUAGUUUGAAUGGAACUGUAGAAAUCAGUGCUUCUGUUAAUGAACCUAUCCAACUACGUGGAGUUGGGAUGUCAAGGCGUUUCCUGCAAUCUGGCAAUUCAAUUCAGACUAACUUGUGGAAAUUGGCAAGUUCCUCCCACCCUCUAAAGCAUGGGAAGGAAAACCAAACAUUUAGGAUGAUAAGUAUACUUUGUAAUUUAAACUAAAUCAAAGCCAUCCUUUUAUGGCAUGCAAACCAUUACUUUACUUGUUUCUAAAUGGGCCUGUACAAUGGCACCCUAAUAAUUACAGCAUCACUUGUGAAUGCUGGACCCUUCAUACCUGUGUUAAUUCAAUAUACCUUUAAACUUAACCUCUGAAAAUUUGUACAUUCAUAGAGCAAGGCUAGCAAUCUGGAUAUCCAUGAGGUUACCGAAGCUAUGGCAAGACUCUCCUGUGAUGAUCCUGGUACAGAAACUCACUGAACGAAUAUUAAAAAGGACACAUCAAAUGGUUGCACUGGCUAUUGCAGUUAUUAUCAGAAUUAUGGCAUUAAUGGCUGCAGCUGCAAUAGAUGGAGUGACGUAUCAUAAAGAAAUUCAAACUGCUGAGUUUGUCAGAAACUGACACAAACACUCUUAUGAACUUUGUACUGAACAAAGUAGGGUAAAUAGUGAGAUAGUGAGUUAAUUGAUUUGAGACAAACUGUUAUAGUUCACUAAUAACAAACUUAUUUCAUUGUUGGGAGAUCAGUUAUAAAUAUUAAAGGAGCAGAUAAAAUUAAAAUGUGAUUAGAACAUUACAUCUUAUUAUAUUACACCUUUAAAGUUUAUUGAAAGCAAGUAUGAUUGGGAAAAGGUUAACAUGCAUUUUAUGGGUCACCCUAAUUCUUCUCAAAUGAUUUCUGAUUUACCGCAAGAAAUUAAGGAAACUUUUAUAAAAAGUUACCUGAUAUGACAGGAAUGGAUAUUAUAGAAGGCCUUGCAAAUACUAUAGCCUCAUUUCCCCCUAUGGAUCACUUUAACACUUUAAUAGAUUUAUUUUUUAAGCAUGUUUUACUUUUGUGCUAGAAAUAGUAAACUUAGUGGCUUUAAAAUAUGUUUUGGCUUACUUACAUAAUACUGUAAAACAGAAAAAUAGGGGGCAAGCUGUCUGUGUUGUGAGGCUAUAAUCCCCAAACUAAUUAAUUAUUGUAUAAGAAAGGGGGAUCUGAUGGGAGAAUUCCCACUGAGUUAUACCUGGUCUGGAGCCAGCCUUAAUCUGGACUAGCCUUAAUCCACCUUUUGUUUCUCAGUUACCUUUUGUUUCCCUUGUUGUUCUCCAUGUGAAUCUUGCCUGAGAGUUUCCCAAAGGUACAAAACAUAUGCAAAACAUGGUUGGGAAACAUCCAACACACUGUGAUAUUCCUUAAUUGAGAAUUUGCAUUUGGUACCGUCUCUUUGGAAGCUUCAUAGGGAUGCUUUGAGGAGAUGGAAAUCAACUUACUAAAAGUGUAAGUUUGUAAAACAAUAAAGAUGCCCUUGGCUAAGGGAAAGUGUCUUAGUAGUGAGAGGCUGAUUCUCCUUGUAGGUGGAAAGACUAAAGACAUCCUUAAAGUGUGUUGUGUCUUCUUCCCAUGGACCUGUGUGAACCCACACUCAUUCAGCAACAACCCUCAUCUAUUUCCUCUCUUAUACAUUUAUGGACUCCCCUUUCCCCCAAGAUGGGAAUGGUGCUGUCCACAAUAUGUCCUUUGUCCUUCUACAUUAUCAAUUAACCAUCAGGAGACUUUCAAUGGCAUGCUCAUGGGUCAAUGUUAUCUAGAUGAUUCCUCAUUAAGACUCUCUUACAAGGUAGUUAUAGGUUCUAUCUAGCUAACAG